GGCUGCCUGCUGCUCACAUGGCUGCUGCUGUGCUGUGAGAGGGAGAGUUGAAGCUGAUGCACAUGCAGGGCAGCCAGUGAUAGUAAACUCUGCUGUAGUGUGUAAGACCAUAUAUGCUGUGAGCAACAGAUUGAAGAUCGAAAACAACAGUACUUGAUGUGCAUGAUAGAAAACCCCUUAUCUGUUCAUCAUUAUUUUUCUAGUUAAAGGCAUUUGAUGUAAACAUUGUAAGAAAACCACAGAGAAAUCAAGAAUGCUGAUCUUGGCUUCACAAGUAAAAGAAAAAUGCCUUAAUUGAAACAAGGAAACGGUUAUUCAGACAUUAAAACUCUCACAUUGUGUCUGAUUUAUGAAAUUUAAAUCAAAAGUACAUAAGUCUAUUUCUUUUUCCCAAAGCUAACAUUUGUCGGGACAGGUUCUGCCAAGUAAUCAGGAUGGAGCUACAAAACAAAAAGACACUAAAGGGAAUUCUGUACUCCGUUACUGUGUCAGGUGAUGGGUACACGCAAACUAACUUACAACGGAAUGUACCGGAAAGGCUCCGCAGCUCCUGAAUGUUUCAGCUUACAAGAUUGUUGUUCAACUGGCUUCCUGAAAUCACUUCC